UACGUAGGGGGCAAGCGUUUGUCCGGAAUCAUUGGGCGUAAAGCGCGUGUAGGCGGCCCGAUAAGUCCGCUGUGAAAGUCCAGGGCUCAACCCUGGGAUGCCGGUGGAUACUGUCGGGCUCGAGUCCGGAAGAGGCGAGUGGAAUUCCUGGUGUAGCGGUGAAAUGCGCAGAUAUCAGGAGGAACACCAAUGGCGAAGGCAGCUCGCUGGGACGUGACUGACGCUGAGACGCGAAAGCGUGGGGAGCAAACAGG
rnacentral:rRNA from 1 species